UCUGACCAGUGCUCCUUCCCAAAGGCACACACCAACACUUCUUGCGGCUUUACAUAAGAUAUGGGGGCCCAAGAUCAAUACUAUCAGGUCUGCCUGCAUACCCUCACAUACUUAUGAAAACAAUCUUAUUGCUUUCAGCCCAUAAGCCAAGAACAUUGCCCGCUUUGGAUUAGUCAAUGGGAUAUGUGCGUAUAUGAUACAAACAGAACAGCAAUGUCCAUUUGCCAUCUCUUUGGUUAUGCGGUCCAUAGACAAAUAAAGGAGACUUUACACAUUUCAUCUAUAAUCUGCUGCCAGUUACUGAGCAGUUAGUGUAUAUAAACUAUACAAUGCUGACUGUUCACAAAUUUACAGUUGCAUUAAUGAAAACCAGAAGACUGACAAAAGACUUUAAAAAAAUGAAACUGUGCACAUUGUGAGAGACACUAUCUGCAUAAAACAAAAAAAUGGUGCGAGGGGUUGCAGAUUUUUAAGCACCUCCUCCUGUGUCGAUGGGAUCUUACACCAGUCAGACUAAGACAGAUUUACCUGGGGACCCCAACCAGUUGCUGGAGGGGUUGUGUAGAAAAGGGUACACUGUUUCACAUCUGGUGAACAUAUCCACUUGCACAAUCAUUGUCCAACAUAAAAAAUAAAAUGGAAAAGUGCCUCUCACUUCAAUUACCUUUUUUAACCAGUUCCCUAAAAUAAAAUGUUUAUUAAGACUGAA